GAGUACCACGGGACACGUGAAACCCUGUGGGAAGCAGGAGGGACCACCCUCCAAGGCUAAAUACUACCUAGUGACCGAUAGCGUAUAGUACCGUGCGGGAAAGGUGAAAAGAACCCCGGGAGGGGAGGGAAAUAGAACCUGAAACCCUGCACUUACAAGCUGUGGAAGCACAUUUCUUGUGUGACCGCGUACUUUUUGUAGAACGGGCCAACGAGUUACGUUA
rnacentral:rRNA from 1 species